GUGCUUCAGCAGCACGUAUACUAAAAUUGGAACACUACAGAGAAGAUUAGCAUGGCCCCUGUGCAAGGAUGACACACAAAUUUGUGAAGCAUUCCUUGUUUUU
ensembl:snRNA RNU6-592P RNA, U6 small nuclear 592, pseudogene